UACGGAGGAUGCGAGCGUUAUCCGGAUUUAUUGGGUUUAAAGGGUGCGCAGGCGGCGAGUUAAGUCAGCGGUAAAAUUUCGGGGCUCAACCCCGACAAGCCGUUGAAACUGGCUUGCUAGAGUGGGCGAGAAGUAUGCGGAAUGCGUGGUGUAGCGGUGAAAUGCAUAGAUAUCACGCAGAACUCCGAUUGCGAAGGCAGCUCACUGGACUGCAACUGACACUGAGGCUCGAAAGUGUGGGUAUCAAACAGG
rnacentral:rRNA from 1 species